rnacentral:miRNA from 1 species
AUGGUAGCACGGCAAUGAGCAU